rnacentral:rRNA from 1 species
AUGCCUCGGCCGCUCCUGGCAGUCCUCGUCGCCGCCCUCGUGCUCGUCCUCGAGCUCCCCGGUGCCCAUGGCUUCCAGAUCGAGGAGGCAACCGUGGCCAGCAUCCAGAUCGGCUUCAACAACGGGAGCCUCACCUCCGUGGAGCUCGUCCGGUUCUACCUGGACCGGAUCAGCAACUUCAACCCGCUGCUGCACGCCGUCAUUGAGGUCAACCCAGACGCGCUCCGGCAGGCGGCCCGCGCCGACGCCGAGCGCUGCUCCGGCCGCCGCCAUCGAGCCAUCGGCGCGCUGCACGGCGUGCCCGUCCUGCUCAAGGACAACAUCGCCACCUGCGACGCGCUCAACACCACGGCCGGGUCGUUCGCGCUGCUUGGCUCCGUGGUGAGGCGUGACGCCGGCGUGGUGCGCCGGCUGCGGCGCGCCGGCGCCGUGGUGCUCGGCAAGGCGAACAUGGACGAGUGGGCCAACUUCCGCAGCUUCUCCGGCGGCGGCUGGAGCGCCCGCGGCGGCAAGGGCAGGAACCCCUACGUGCUGUCGGCGACGCCGUGUGGGUCGAGCACGGGGUCGGCGAUCGCGGCGGCGGCGAGCAUGGCGGCGGUGACGCUGGGGACAGAGACCGACGGCUCGAUACUCUGCCCGGCGUCGCUGAACUCGGUGGUGGGGAUCAAGCCCACGGUGGGGUUGACCAGCCGGGCUGGGGUUAUUCCCAUCACACCACGCCAAGACACUAUCGGGCCGAUUUGCCGCACGGUGGCUGAUGCAGUCCACGUGCUGGACACCAUCGUCGGCUAUGAUGCUCUCGACGCUAUUGCCACGAUGCAAGCUUCCAAGUACAUCCCUCGUGGUGGAUACAUGCAGUUCUUGAAAAAAGAUGGCCUUAGAGGGAAGAGGAUAGGCGUUCCUAAUGGUUUCUUCAACUUCCCAAAUGGGACGGUGCAACAAAUGGUCUACGAGCAACAUCUCAGCACAAUGAGGAAACAAGGAGCAAUCGUGAUUGAGAACCUUGACAUAGAGAAUUUAAGUGUCCUAUUGGAUUUCCAAAACAAUGGCCAACUGAUCGCAUUACCAGCAGAGUUCAAGUUAAGCCUCAACUCCUAUCUGUCAAACUUAUUAUAUUCCCCAGUUCGGUCGCUUGCAGAGAUCAUAGCUUUCAACAAUGCACAUCCUGUUGAGGAAAACAUGAAGGAAAAUGGUCAAACCGUAUUCCUGGUGGCUGAGAACACGACGGGCAUCGGUGCCUCGGAGCGAGAGGCGAUCAGUCAGUUAAAUAAGCUGUCCGCCAACGGGUUGAAGAAGUUGAUGAGGGAGCACGAGCUAGACGCCAUAGUGACACCUAAUAAUGCAGCAUCCUCGGUGCUCGCCAUCGACGGCUUGCCGGCCAUCACCGUGCCGGCAGGGUACGGCAAGCUGGGGGUGCCGUUUGGUCUUUGCUUUAGCGGGCUGAGAGGGUAUGAACCGAGGCUGAUCGAAAUGGCGUAUGCCUUCGAGCAUGUUACCAUGGCCAGAAAGAUGCCCACAUUCUUACCAUAG